GGUUAAGCGACUAAGCGUACACGGUGGAUGCCCUGGCAGUCAGAGGCGAUGAAGGACGUGCUAAUCUGCGAAAAGCGCCGGCGAGGUGAUAUGAACCCUUGACCCGGCGAUGUCCGAAUGGGGAAACCCAGUGUGAUUCGUCACACUAUCGUUAACUGAAUACAUAGGUUAACGAGGCGAACCGGGGGAACUGAAACAUCUAAGUACCCCGAGGAAAAGAAAUCAACCGAGAUUCCCCCAGUAGCGGCGAGCGAACGGGGAGCAGCCCGGAGUCUGAAUCAGCUUGUGUGUUAGUGGAACGGUCUGGAAAGUCCGACGGUACAGGGUGAUAGUCCCGUACACGAAAGCACACUUGCUGUGAACUCGAAGAGUAGGGCGGGACACGUGGUAUCCUGUCUGAAUAUGGGGGGACCAUCCUCCAAGGCUAAAUACUCCUGACUGACCGAUAGUGAACCAGUACCGUGAGGGAAAGGCGAAAAGAACCCCGGCGAGGGGAGUGAAAAAGAACCUGAAACCGUGUACGUACAAGCAGUGGGAGCACCUUCGUGGUGUGACUGCGUACCUUUUGUAUAAUGGGUCAGCGACUUAUAUUCUGUAGCAAGGUUAACCGUAUAGGGGAGCCGAAGGGAAACCGAGUCUUAACUGGGCGUUAAGUUGCAGGGUAUAGACCCGAAACCCGGUGAUCUAGCCAUGGGCAGGUUGAAGGUUGGGUAACACUAACUGGAGGACCGAACCGACUAAUGUUGAAAAAUUAGCGGAUGACCUGUGGCUGGGGGUGAAAGGCCAAUCAAACCGGGAGAUAGCUGGUUCUCCCCGAAAGCUAUUUAGGUAGCGCCUCGUGAACUCAUCUUCGGGGGUAGAGCACUGUUUCGGCUAGGGGGCCAUCCCGGCUUACCAACCCGAUGCAAACUACGAAUACCGAAGAAUGUUAUCACGGGAGACACACGGCGGGUGCUAACGUCCGUCGUGAAGAGGGAAACAACCCAGACCGCCAGCUAAGGUCCCAAAGUCAUGGUUAAGUGGGAAACGAUGUGGGAAGGCACAGACAGCCAGGAUGUUGGCUUAGAAGCAGCCAUCAUUUAAAGAAAGCGUAAUAGCUCACUGGUCGAGUCGGCCUGCGCGGAAGAUGUAACGGGGCUAAACCAUGCACCGAAGCUGCGGCAGCGACACUAUGUGUUGUUGGGUAGGGGAGCGUUCUGUAAGCCGUUGAAGGUGUGCUGUGAGGCAUGCUGGAGGUAUCAGAAGUGCGAAUGCUGACAUAAGUAACGAUAAAGCGGGUGAAAAGCCCGCUCGCCGGAAGACCAAGGGUUCCUGUCCAACGUUAAUCGGGGCAGGGUGAGUCGACCCCUAAGGCGAGGCCGAAAGGCGUAGUCGAUGGGAAACAGGUUAAUAUUCCUGUACUUGGUGUUACUGCGAAGGGGGGACGGAGAAGGCUAUGUCAGCCGGGCGACGGUUGUCCCGGUUUAAGCAUGUAGGCGGAGGUUCCAGGUAAAUCCGGUACCUUAUUAACGCUGAGGUGUGAUGACGAGGCACUACGGUGCUGAAGUGAUAAAUGCCCUGCUUCCAGGAAAAGCCUCUAAGCAUCAGGUAACACGAAAUCGUACCCCAAACCGACACAGGUGGUCAGGUAGAGAAUACCAAGGCGCUUGAGAGAACUCGGGUGAAGGAACUAGGCAAAAUGGUGCCGUAACUUCGGGAGAAGGCACGCUGAUGUGUAGGUGAAGUCCCUGCGGACGGAGCUGAAAUCAGUCGAAGAUACCAGCUGGCUGCAACUGUUUAUUAAAAACACAGCACUGUGCAAACACGAAAGUGGACGUAUACGGUGUGACGCCUGCCCGGUGCCGGAAGGUUAAUUGAUGGGGUUAGCUGUAAGGCGAAGCUCUUGAUCGAAGCCCCGGUAAACGGCGGCCGUAACUAUAACGGUCCUAAGGUAGCGAAAUUCCUUGUCGGGUAAGUUCCGACCUGCACGAAUGGCGUAAUGAUGGCCAGGCUGUCUCCACCCGAGACUCAGUGAAAUUGAACUCGCUGUGAAGAUGCAGUGUACCCGCGGCAAGACGGAAAGACCCCGUGAACCUUUACUAUAGCUUGACACUGAACACUGGUCCUUGAUGUGUAGGAUAGGUGGGAGGCUUUGAAGCGUGGACGCCAGUCUGCGUGGAGCCGCCCUUGAAAUACCACCCUUUAAUGGCUGGUGUUCUAACGUAGACCCGUAAUCCGGGUUGCGGACAGUGUCUGGUGGGUAGUUUGACUGGGGCGGUCUCCUCCCAAAGAGUAACGGAGGAGCACGAAGGUUGGCUAAUCCUGGUCGGACAUCAGGAGGUUAGUGCAAUGGCAUAAGCCAGCUUGACUGCGAGCGUGACGGCGCGAGCAGGUGCGAAAGCAGGUCAUAGUGAUCCGGUGGUUCUGAAUGGAAGGGCCAUCGCUCAACGGAUAAAAGGUACUCCGGGGAUAACAGGCUGAUACCGCCCAAGAGUUCAUAUCGACGGCGGUGUUUGGCACCUCGAUGUCGGCUCAUCACAUCCUGGGGCUGAAGUAGGUCCCAAGGGUAUGGCUGUUCGCCAUUUAAAGUGGUACGCGAGCUGGGUUUAGAACGUCGUGAGACAGUUCGGUCCCUAUCUGCCGUGGGCGCUGGAGAAUUGAGGGGGGCUGCUCCUAGUACGAGAGGACCGGAGUGGACGCAUCACUGGUGUUCGGGUUGUCAUGCCAAUGGCACUGCCCGGUAGCUAAAUGCGGAAGAGAUAAGUGCUGAAAGCAUCUAAGCACGAAACUUGCCCCGAGAUGAGUUCUCCCUGAGACUUUAAGUCUCCUGAAGGAACGUU
rnacentral:rRNA from 1 species